rnacentral:rRNA from 1 species
UACGGAGGGUGCGAGCGUUGUCCGGAAUCAUUGGGCGUAAAGGGCGCGUAGGUGGCCCGGUCAGUCCGUGGUGAAAGCGCGGGGCUCAACCCCGCGUCGGCCAUGGAUACUGCUGGGCUGGAGCACUGUAGAGGCAGGCGGAAUUCCGGGUGUAGCGGUGGAAUGCGUAGAGAUCGGAAGGAACAUCAGUGGCGAAAGCGACUUCCUGGACCAAUACUGACGCUCAUGUGCGAAAGCGUGGGGAGCAAACAGG